rnacentral:rRNA from 1 species
AUGGGAGCCAUGGAGGGGGUGCGCUGGAGGGAGCAGCUUGGGUUCUCGCCGCCAUGCUCGCCAUGCCGUGCCACCCCUCAUUUCUCUCCCUUUUCUUGGUUUUCUUCCUCUCUCUCUCUCUCCCUCAUGCUUCCUCGUUUUCUUUCAGGAGAACGGCGGCGCAACCAUGGCGCCACCCAUGAGAACCCAAACGCCUUGCAAGGUCCAUCUGCCGCUCGCCUGGAUCUGGACGCCGCCGUUGUUCCGCGCGUCCAGCCCAUCUGCCACCGCCCUGUGCAGAUCUCACUCGAUCAGAUCGAGCGGGAGAGCCGCCUGCCGUCGUACACGCUCGUUGACCCACCUCGAUCCAUAGAUAGGGGUGGGCCCGCUGGCGACGCGCGGCGGCGGCCUGCGGCGCACGGUGAGGCGGGACUGGCCAUGGCAGGAGGUGGCGGCGGGCUGGAGGUGGGAUCGGGAGGCAGACAUGGUUGA